GAUCAAGUGUCUUAAGGGCAAUUGGUGGAUGCCUUGGCAUGCACAGGCGAUGAAGGACGUGAUACGCUGCGAUAAGCUACGGGGAGGUGCGAAUACCCUUUGAUCCGUAGAUCUCCGAAUGGGGAAACCCACCUAAGGUACUUGGAAAAUCAGAGCAGCAGGGCAACUGACGCGACAAUCCCAAAAGGAUUGAGCGUGGGGCGACGAUCUCUUUGGGAUNNNNNNNNNNNNNNNNNNNNNNNNNNNNNNNNNNNNNNNNNNNNNNNNNNNNNNNNNNNNNNNNNNNNNNNNNNNNNNNNNNNNNNNNNNNNNGCAGGGCAACUGACGCGACAAUCCCAAAAGGAUUGAGCGUGGGGCGACGAUCUCUUUGGGAUCGCGCUGCUUUUGCUGCUGUGGUUUCCAAGUAUCGAUAAUAGGUAACUUAUCCUGAAUACAUAGGGAUAAAGUGGCGAACGCGGGGAACUGAAACAUCUAAGUACCCGUAGGAAAGGACAUCAACCGAGACUCCGGAAGUAGUGGCGAGCGAACCCGGACCAGGCCAGCGGCGAUUGAGAGACAAGCGGAACCUUCUGGAAAGUUGGGCCAUAGCGGGUGACAGCCCCGUACGCGUAAUGCGAUCAAUCGUCCUUGAGUAAGGCGGGACACGUGAAAUCCUGUCUGAAAUUGGGAGGACCACCUUCCAAGCCUAAGUACUCGUGCAUGACCGAUAGCGAACUAGUACCGUGAGGGAAAGGUGAAAAGCACCCCGACAAGGGGAGUGAAAGAGUACCUGAAACCGAUUGCCUACAAACAGUGGGAGCCCGUCCUUCAAAUCGCUUGACGAUUUGAAGAACUUUUGAUUUUGCCAUCAAGAGCGCAAGCGCUUUGAUGGGCGGGUGACCACGUACCUUUUGUAUAAUGGGUCAGCGACUUAGUGUGACGAGCAAGCUUAAACCGAUAGGUGUAGGCGCAGCGAAAGCGAGUCUGAACAGGGCGUUCAGUUCGUCGCAUUAGACCCGAAACCGAGUGAUCUAGCCAUGAGCAGGCUGAAGGUAAGGUAACACUUACUGGAGGGCCGAACCCAUAACUGUUGCAAUAGUUCGGGAUGACUUGUGGCUAGGGGUGAAAGGCCAAUCAAACUCGGAAAUAGCUGGUUCUCCGCGAAAUCUAUUUAGGUAGAGCGUCGACCGAAUACCCCAGGGGGUAGAGCACUGGAUGGGCUAGGGGUCCUCACCGGAUUACCAAACCUAACCAAACUCCGAAUACCUGGGAGUACUAGUCGGCAGACACACGGCGGGUGCUAACGUCCGUCGUGAAAAGGGAAACAACCCUGACCUACAGCUAAGGUCCCCAAGUUAUGGCUAAGUGGGAAAGGAUGUGAGGAUCCCAAAACAACCAGGAUGUUGGCUUAGAAGCAGCCAUCAUUUAAAGAAAGCGUAACAGCUCACUGGUCUAAAUAAGGGUCUUUGCGCCGAAAAUGUAACGGGGCUAAAGCCAUACACCGAAGCUUAGGGUUCGUGAGCAAUCACGAGCGGUAGCGGAGCGUUCUGUAAGCCAGUGAAGCCGUACCCGUGAGGGGCGGUGGAGGUAUCAGAAGUGCGAAUGCUGACAUGAGUAACGUAAGGGGAGUGAGAGACUCCCCCGCCGAAAGACCAAGGGUUCCUGCUUAAAGUUAAUCUGAGCAGGGUUAGCCGGCCCCUAAGACGAGGCGGAAACGCGUAGUCGAUGGGAAUCACGUUAAUAUUCGUGAGCCUGGAGGUAGUGACGGAUCACACAAGUUGUCCAAUCUUAUCGGAUUGAAAGGGCAGCGGAGUGGUUCCAGGAAAUAGCUCCUCCUUAUAGACCGUACCCGAAACCGACACUGGUGGUCUGGUAGAGUAUACCAAGGCGCUUGAGAGAACUAUGCUGAAGGAACUCGGCAAAUUGCACGCGUAACUUCGGAAGAAGCGUGACCCUUUUUUGCGCAAGCAGAGGAGGGUGGCACAGACCAGGGGGUAGCGACUGUUUAUCAAAAACACAGGGCUCUGCGAAGUCGCAAGACGACGUAUAGGGUCUGACGCCUGCCCGGUGCUGGAAGGUUAAGAGGAGGGGUGCAAGCUCUGAAUCGAAGCCCCAGUAAACGGCGGCCGUAACUAUAACGGUCCUAAGGUAGCGAAAUUCCUUGUCGGGUAAGUUCCGACCUGCACGAAUGGCGUAACGACUUCCCCGCUGUCUCCAGCAUAGACUCAGUGAAAUUGAAUUCCCCGUGAAGAUGCGGGGUUCCUGCGGUUAGACGGAAAGACCCCGUGCACCUUUACUAUAGCUUUACAUUGGCAUUCGUAGUGGCAUGUGUAGGAUAGGUGGUAGGCUUUGAAGCCUGGGCGCCAGCUCAGGUGGAGCCACCCUUGAAAUACCACCCUUAUCACUAUGGAUGUCUAACCGCGGCCCGUUAUCCGGGUCCGGGACAAUGUAUGGUGGGUAGUUUGACUGGGGCGGUCGCCUCCUAAAGAGUAACGGAGGCGCGCGAUGGUGGGCUCAGAACGGUCGGAAAUCGUUCGCUGAGUGCAAUGGCAUAAGCCUGCCUGACUGCGAGACUGACAAGUCGAGCAGAGACGAAAGUCGGUCAUAGUGAUCCGGUGGUCCCGUGUGGAAGGGCCAUCGCUCAACGGAUAAAAGGUACGCCGGGGAUAACAGGCUGAUGACCCCCAAGAGUCCAUAUCGACGGGGUUGUUUGGCACCUCGAUGUCGACUCAUCGCAUCCUGGGGCUGGAGCAGGUCCCAAGGGUAUGGCUGUUCGCCAUUUAAAGCGGUACGUGAGUUGGGUUCAGAACGUCGUGAGACAGUUCGGUCCCUAUCUGCCGUGGGUGUAGGAAUAUUGAAAGGAUCUGUCCCUAGUACGAGAGGACCGGGAUGGACGGAUCUCUGGUGGACCUGUUGUGGCGCCAGCCGCAUUGCAGGGUAGCUAUAUCCGGACGGGAUAACCGCUGAAGGCAUCUAAGCGGGAAACCCACCUUGAAACGAGUAUUCCCUGAGAACCGUGGAAGACGACCACGUUGAUAGGCCGGGUGUGGAAGAGCGGCAACGCUUGAAGCUUACCGGUACUAAUAGUUCGAUCGGCUUGAUCGUUCUCAUU
rnacentral:rRNA from 1 species